CACUCAUCAUAUUGGUGUCACCUCGGGGAACGAGUCGGCUGUCUGCUUGAUGGGGCAGGAGCCCACCGCAGGGCGUUAGGACUUGCUGGGCGGUGGAAGCCCGGGGACAAGGCCGGGGACAGAGGGAAUCUGCAGUCACCCCUCUGUCGGUGGAGGUCGCGGACGAGCGACGAAUAUAGCCUCCGGGAUCACGCCGGAGAAGAGCCUGGGAUCCUGGUCUCAAUUGGGAGGAGGAUCGGAGGCGACAUGGAAACCAUCAUAAAGGUGAUCGCUCACGCGUGUAAGACCUAUCACGGGACGCAUGCUCCUUCUCAGAAGGAGAAUGCAGCGAUCCUCUCGUUGCUUGAGAAGGAGGGGCUAUUAACAUCGCCCCACGAUAUUUGUGACCACAAUAAGUGGGAUUCGGUUACCGCUGCCUUUUCCCAACGAGCAAUGGUCACUCAGAAAACAGCGGAGUUAAAAACUUGGGGUCUGAUACUGGGGGCGUUGAAAGCGGCCAGAGUAGAGGGAAAGGUAUUGGCAAAGGCUCGAUACCUUUUGGGUCUCGGCGGAGGAGGCGAGACACCGGACCCGGUCGGGUCCGAUGGGGGCUCGGGAGAAGUUUCUUGCAGGGGCCGUGAGGAGACGGAGCCGCCAAUGACCGUUGGCAAGAUGGCGCCGGCUGAGCCGACCGCGCUCAGUUCAAAAGAAGACAAACAACAAGAGAGUGAAUGUUUGUUGUCUCGUCCCCCUCCCCCGUAUCCGAACCCCUCAGGCGGAACGUUGCAGUUCACUAAGGUGAACAGAAAUACUUUCAUUAACAGGGAUAAUUUUUCUGAGCUGCCAUGCAUCUUUAAUUCCCUUCCAACUCAGAGAUGCCAGAAUGACUUUUCAUCAUCCAAUCCACUCCACUGAAUUCCAAUGAUCGCUGCA
ensembl:lncRNA